AGGAUGAACGCUGGCGGCGUGCCUAACACAUGCAAGUCGAACGCUCUCCAUUCGGUAGCAAUACUGAUGAAGAGGGAGUGGCGAACGGGUGAGUACCACGUGAGCAACCUGCCCCGAAGACUGGGACAACACCGGGAAACCGGUGCUAAUACCGGAUAUCCCUAUCGGAUCGCAUGAUCUGAUAAGGAAAUGGAUUCCGCUUCGGGAGGGGCUCGCGGCCUAUCAGCUAGUUGGUGAGGUAAUAGCUCACCAAGGCAUCGACGGGUAGCUGGUCUGAGAGGACGAUCAGCCACACUGGGACUGAGACACGGCCCAGACUCCUACGGGAGGCAGCAGUGGGGAAUCUUGCGCAAUGGGCGAAAGCCUGACGCAGCAACGCCGCGUGGAGGACGAAUGCUUUCUGAGUUGUAAACUCCUUUCAGCAGGGACGAUUGUGACGGUACCUGCAGAAGAGCACCGGCCAACUACGCACCAGACG
rnacentral:rRNA from 1 species